GCAGUUUUGCUCGCGCAUCCUCCACACCCUUUUUAGAUCGCGCUUCUCGUCGUGAUCUUUCAUUAGGUCGCGGCUCGUGUAUCGAAAUAC
rnacentral:rRNA from 1 species